ensembl:lncRNA
CAAGGAUCCAAUCACUUUAUUUUGUGUCAUUUCAUCCUUAUAACACCAGCUGUAUAAGCGUGUUGACAUCUGCACUGAUGGUGCAAAACAAUGGUGGAUGAAACUGCUGAAGCCUUAGCAUGAAUCAAGACAGCGGGACUAAAUUUUUAGAUGAUUGGCUAAUCAGUGCCACCCCGGACAAGGAGCUUCUGGCCUGAAUCUGUUUCUUCACCUGCAAAAUGGAAAUAAGCAUCAAGCAGGAUGACCAACUCGGUGAACUUGAUAUUCGGCAUUGUUGGGAGCAGCUAUCCAUAGCCCUCAGAAUACAAGUCAGGGCCACCAGGGGCGGCUGAGAUUAGACAGAAGCCAUGAAGGAGGAAGCGGUGAAGAGGUAUGAGGCCCAAGCAGCAGCGGAGUCCAGAAAGCAUCAACAAGCAUAAACUUCCUAAGGUAACAAUAUCUCCCGAAGAUCACCCCUUAGCAAUAAACACAGAUCUCGCUCCCUCCGUUUUCUAGCUGCGGAGGAGUUCAUCGCGUGGAUGCACCGUGGUUGAUCAACCUGUCACUUAUUGAUGGAUCUUUGGUUUGUUUUCAGUUUUUGCUGUUACAAAUAGAGCAACAGUUAAUAUUCUUGCAGACAUAUUUUUGUGUCUUUGCAAGCAUGUCUUUGGGCUCCCUCUUCUCUAUUAUCGCCAAGUGUUAAAAAGUACCUCCUCACACUUUCUGCUGGCUCUGCUUCUCCGCUUCACCGGACCUCCUGCCUCCUCUGCGCGUCGUGUUCCUGUUUUGUUCCGUUUGGAUAAUAUCCCAGCAGUUCUUUUUAACGCGGGGCUUCAUCUUGGAAGAGAUCUUGGGUAGACGAGUUUGGGAGUUCACGGGGUUGUCUCAGCACCGGCCAACCUCACGAGCCGCACGUAGCUGCACUUACCCACAAACUGGAGCCUCAGGGACCCUCCCAGUUUGGGUGCUGUCCUCGGGGUGGCCUGCUGACCCUCCUGAGAGUAUCCGUUGGCGAGUGUAGGGUCUCCAGCUUGCAGGGCCCUCAGCAGUCCCCCGCCUUUGCCCUGAUUUCCCCUGCACCGAAACUGAUACCAUGCAGGUCUUGCUGCUCUCAGUAAUUUGUCCCAUCUGCUUGCAUUUUGGCGUCCAUAGGAGCACCUGGCAUCGAGCUUUGCUGCUGAUGUCAUCAGUCAGUUCUUUGGCUUUUCUCACAACUUCACUGUUAAUUAGAAAAAAUGCAGAUUAAAGCUCAACCAAGAAUAUAUAGAAAGUCUUUGUAUAUUCUUACACAUUUUGUCAGUUUUAAAUUGUAUCAAAAUUAAAAGUUAC